AAUUUKCUGCUUUGGAUUUUUACAGGCAUUUGAAAUGAGAGGAAAAAAAUAGCAAUCAAGCAUUAAAGCCUGUAGAGAAAAACUUGAAUCUUAUUGGAAAAAAAGCUAAAUGACCUAAACAACAUCUUUUAGCCAUCUGGUUCAAGGUAAUUAAUUGCAUCACUAGCCACAAGAAUUCUACAUUCUCUGCAGAAUGUGAAGCAGUAGUUCAGCAGAGAAGUUGUUCUCUGAGAAAAGAGAAAGUUCACAGUAAGACAGCAUUAUUGGAAAGGGUAAGUAAGAGAGCUAUGGUUAGUAAAUGUGACUGCGUAACUUUAUUGAAGGUUGGAUUGCAUACUGAUGUAUCCCAGUAGAGGACCUGCCUCCUGUACACACAUAUCUUUCCCUCUAGAAAGACACAAUAAAUAGAAACUGUUCUAAUGAAUUAGUAUGUCC
rnacentral:lncRNA from 1 species